rnacentral:miRNA from 1 species
GACGUGGACUAUCGACGUCAUAAACACCAAAGUUGAUCGUGUUUAUGACGUCGAAUAUCGAGGUCAUAAACACCAAAGUUGAUCGUGUUUAUGACGUCGACGUCAUAAACACCUAAGUUGAUCGUGUUUAUGACGUCGAAUAUCGAGGUCAUAAACACCAAAGUUGAUCGUGUUUAUAACGUCGACGUCAUAAUCACCAAAGUUGAUCGUAUUUAUGAUGUCGAAUAUCGACGUCAUAAACACCAAAGUUGAUCGUGUUUAUGACGUCGAAUAUCGACGUC